AAAUUCCAGUGUCAUAAGGAGCUGUCCCCCCAUCGUGCUUGCACGAAGGGGGGACAGCUCCUUAUGACACGCCCCCUUAUGAGCAUGCAGCGGAGGUUUUUCCCGCGGAAUGCGAAUAAGGGACAGCAUGGCGAGCUCAGCGAUGCCAUGCGGAAUUU
rnacentral:sRNA from 1 species